rnacentral:rRNA from 1 species
UACGUAGGGGGCAAGCGUUAUCCGGAUUUACUGGGUGUAAAGGGAGCGUAGACGGCUUUGCAAGCCAGAUGUGAAAGCCCGGGGCUCAACCCCGGGACUGCAUUUGGAACUGUGUGGCUAGAGUGUCGGAGAGGCAGGCGGAAUUCCUAGUGUAGCGGUGGAAUGCGUAGAUAUAUGGAAGAACACCAGUGGCGAAAGCGGCUCUCUGGUCUGUAACUGACGCUGAGGUUCGAAAGCGUGGGUAGCAAACAGG